CUGUUAUUUUUUGACCCUAGAAAUAUUAGAAAUCUUGAAUUGAGGUUGUGUUGGGGAAUACACUGUUGUGACCUUACAUACUAUCUGCUUUCCCAGAAUCUACUAAGUUAGCCUUUAGUCAUAGGAUAACAUAAACUCUUGGUAACAUGCUAUGAAGUAAAGAAUAAUUAAUAAAAAUCAAACUGGUAAAGACUAUAAAUAAACAUGCCGUGACACAUAAAACUGAGAGCUGCAUGGAUAAUUAAUAGAAAGUAAAUAUACCCUGCGUUGUUUCAAAGAUUAAAUUUUGCUUAAGGGUCAUUUCACUCAUUAAAACAGGGAGAACGUAACUCUAGAUUUUUCUAGUAAAAGUGAAAUUGAACAACCACCUAUUGAGCCUCCUUGUGCCAAAUACUUUCUUAGGUUCUGAGCCUGCAAAAAACGGUUAGUAGUUCUUCAGUGAGAAUGGAGGGACUGUUAACAGGUGUUCCAGCUACAUCUGAAGUUCAGCUCCUUGAGGGCAGAAACCGUGUCUCCCCAGCAUUAGCUCACCGGCCCUGAGUGGAUGCUCAGGAUUUGAAUGGUUGAAAGAAUGCCUGAGGGAAAUAGCAUGAGGUGCUUCAGAAAAGUACAGGAGGUGUAACGGACGCUUGGGGCUUAAACUGGUGAGAGUGAGAAAGGGGUUAAAGAAAGCAUCUGGGCAGAGUCAUAACUAGAUGAAGUCUUAAAGAAUGAGCGUGAGUCAGGAGGAGGAAUGAGAGUGGGAAGAGUGUUUUGGCAAAAGAACCAGCCUGAGGAAAAGGGUCAGCCAUGUAGCCACAGUUGCUGGUAUGCUGAGACUGGGGAAUAUGAGACCAGCCAGGGAGGGUGGAGACCACUUAAUGUGCACUUUGGGUAAAAUGACGCGGGUCAAACCAAACUCAUUUACAUGCCCGGUUUCUUCAUUAGGAUAAUGAAGGGCUUCCAUUAGUUGAUCUCUAAGGGUCUCUUCUAACACUUAAAUUCCUUUUUCCUCUAUUAUUAAGUUGGAAAUGAAGGUAAUUAGAUAAUCCUGGAUUUUUAACCAAAAUUUGGGCUCAGUCCUGUACUAAUUUUAUAAUAACGCUUUUCCCCUUCUCGUUUAACUUUGCUUAUUUGAAUGAUGUCUUGGGUAUUUACACUGUCUAUGCAGUCAGCGUGUAUUGCUGUCUGAUUUCGUGCCUUUGAUAGCUCUAAAGUAAAGUUUGCUUUAUUUCAAACAAGCUACCAAAGUUAAGAUACUGUAUCAGUAAGAUAUGUGUUUUUCAGCUUUGCUUCGAAGAAAUAGAAUCUGUACAAUAAGCAGAACUGAUUUUUAUUUUUCAGAUGAUUAUAGAUUGGUAGCCCGAUUAAUAGAAAUGUUAGAUACUGUUUAAGAAUGCCAUGGCACUUUAUUAUUUGUUGUUCAGGUUUAAAACAGAACCUUUAUUAAUAACUAGAUUUUUUGAAAGAAGAAUUUAUUAAUAUCAUAUGUGCAGAAUUUAAUACUUCUAUUUAUAUUGAUAUAAAAUUAGAAUAAAUUUAAUACAAUUUAAAUAAAGCAGAGACUUCCAAGAAACAUGUAAACAUGUUGUUGUAUAUUUUCUCUGUUUUUUAAUAAUCCAGUAACACAUACCCAGAAUUUAAGGAGAAAAACCUGUUUUGGCUAUUUCCUCAUUUUUUUCCUUUUGAGUUUUUAUGGAAGGCUAGGUUCCCAAACUGAGGUAUCAGAUGGCAUAGUGCAAGAAUGUGAGGGAAAUGGGCGUGGAGGCCAAGAAACCCUGCCCCAGCCCUCUCCCCAACCCCUGCCUUCUCCUUUCUCUUGCAACUCACUCUCUCAUCCAUUACUGUGGAGGGAAAUUUGUAUAAUGGCAAUGACCCUAAAGAUCUCCAGGAUUUCUGAAGACAUAUUUCCAAACAAAACAGGCCUUUAUUUAGAGAUUAUAGUACCUUAAUAAUUUUAAAAGUUGAGGGAAAAAAAUGUAUAUGGUUUUGUGUCUGCUUUCCCUUACCUGAAGUAAUGGCUUUGUGAUUCUAAUACAUCAUUUCAUCAGAGUCUGAAAGUGGUAAAAAUGUUUGUAGACCCUUCAGUGAUUUUAUUUUAUUAUUGUACCUGAUUGUUAUCCAGCUGUCCCACAGGCCUUGGCUGUUGCAUAAAAGAGGGGCUAGGCAAGGGAGCAGGUUUCACUUAAAACCAUCACAAUAUCAGAAUCUAGAGACAUCGCUCCAUGAUGGGCCCAGGCAGAAUUGGGAAGUAAGCAUUUUUAUUUGUGGCUCUUGCUCAGUUUGCUUUGUCUUCCUUUGGCCCGUCCAUUUUCCUUUGCUAUCCUGCUUAGGAUUGUUUGAUUUCUACUAGGGAACUGUCUGCCUAACACUUAACACUUAAGCCUGUUUUGCAAGCAAAAUACAGAGAAUUUAUUCUGUAGAAUAUGUAAAACUGAAAGGAACCAGGGGUUUCACUAAUUACAACCUCUCACUUUUCAGUGAGGAUGUUGAGUCUCAGAGUGGUAACUUCUCAAGGUCACAGAGAGUCAGUGGAAGAAGAGCCCAGGCUAUUCAGAACUGCCAAGUCUUUAGCUAGUGUUCUUUGACCUGUUCAGUUUUGUGUGAGAAAAAUAAAUUAAAUUUUUGACUGAAAAAUAGAGACCUCUAGAUUCUUGGUCAUUCAGUUCAUUCAUCCAUUUAUUCUUUCCUUUAAUUUCCUUCUUAGCAUGUAUCUUCUGAGUAUAUUCUCUGUAGGGCACUGUGAAGUAUCACAACUAAACAAGAUGGAGUUUCUUUGCUUGAGGGGCUUACAAGGGAGCCCAAGACCAUUGGGAACCAUGUCUUGUUCAGCUCUAUGCCUAUGGAGAGAACACAGGCCUUGCUUCCUAAAGGACAGAGAAUCACUGGAUGAUGUGGGUAUACUGGCAUAUGGGUAGGGUGUGGUGCAAAGAGAGGGUGUAAAAGGGGGCUAACAGUUCAGCUUGAAGGUACUGAGAAAUUGGUAAGAGAAGUAGUGGUAACUUCUAUAUGUAUGUUUGCAAGAUUUUUUUUUGCAGGAUGGGAUUGGCUUAAUGAAUGAAUUGUCAGAGGGAGUUCCUGUUGUGGCUCAGCAGUAAUUAACCCAAUUGGCAUCCAUGAGGCCACAGGUUAGAUCUGUGGCCUCGCUCAGUGGGUUAAGGACCUGGCGUUGGUCAGAGCUGAGGUGUAGGUCACAGACGUGGCUUGGAUCCUGUGUUGCUGUGGCUGUGGUGUGGGCUGGCAGCUGUAGCUUCGACUUGACCCCUAGCCUGGCAACUUCCAUAUGCUUUGGGUGUGGCCCUAAAAAGACAAAAAAUAAAAUUAGAAAAAAAAAAGGAAUUGUCAAAAAGGUAUCAAUUGUUACAGUCAAACCAAUGAAAAUAAAUUAAUGAAAGUAUCUCACCUUGGGAGGGUGUCCUCAACUCUUUAUAGAUUGAAAAUUAAUUUUGAAAGAAUCCAACUGAAACAUAAACUUAAUUCUUUCAGAACUUUAGAAGAGUUUAUUAUACCCCCCUAGUUUACCCCUCCAAACAAGUGACCCAUACAGAGUAGCUUACGCCUUGAGUGUAGCUGGCUUAAUAGUAAUCAGAAACAUAUGCUGGAAUCCUAGUGUUUCAGCCAAAGUCCUGGUCUUUAGACUUCACAUUUAACAUAGCUCUUACCCUCCGUUAACUAGGCUUGCAGUUGGAUGACAUAGCUGGAUGUUGUGGAUGACAGAUUUUCCUACUGUUGUGCACCAGAGGGAUACAGGGCAGGUGGGGGAAAAGACUAACUCAACACUAAUGAAACCCUGACCCCCAUAUGCAUUUUGGUAAUUCCAUGAAGGCAAGAAUGUUACUAAUAACAGAGCAGAUUUUGUAGGUCGUCUUGAACUUGGUCAGCUGCAGUUAAACCCAUGGCUGCUGGUGCUAUGGAAUGUACCCCUAUUUGUUUUGGGAAAGUGGUGAAAGAGAUUCAGUUACAGGUUUUCCAUCUUCCUGGAAUAAUGCUACCCCUAGAAUAGAAUUCUCCACAUACCCAAGGAUGAUUGGACCUCAAAUUUAGCAACUAUUCAAUUAAAUGUACCAUUUACUGCAUUAACAUCUAUUUUGGGAAACUGUUUUACAUUUCACAUCCAGGAUAUCUUUUUUCUGGUCUUAGGGUGACUAUAUUUAAAACCAAAUUAUAAAUUGUAUUGUCAAAAUUAUUUGAUGAACUAUUGAAGCAGGGUAACUUUUCACAAAUAGCAGGUAUGGCAAAUAGUAUCUUUUAGAAUUCCUUGCUCAAAGAUAUACAGAUGAAAGCCCAGAAUGAUGGAUUUUAUGUUUUCUUGAUACUUCUACCUUGGAGACCUGAGCUGUAUUUUUACACACUGAAAUAAGAAGAGUUACUUUUGUCAUAUAGUUCUUAGCUUUUUCAAGUCACAGAAGUCUUUGAGAAUCUAAUAAAAGCCCUGACCUCUAUGAAAAGUCCACAUAUGCAUGCUGUACAGAUUUGCAUGCAUUUUCAGGUGAUUCAUAGACCACAGGUUAAGAUGUUGGUCAAAUUAUUUAAAAUUUUCUCUCUCUUUUUUUUUUUUUUCCAUCCAAGUUAUCUUUACAUUUAUAGUUAUCAGGCCAUUUUAUAUACCUGGAGAGCAAGAUUAUAGUAUUAGUAGUGUUUCCUUGGGACUUUUGAACUAACAUGGGACAAGUUCAAUAUAAAGACAACUAGAAUCCCUGCUGCACCGAGACUGUUCCUCCAUGUCACCUCCUGCACUCAGGACACUUCUGCGUGGCACUGCUAUGAUGGAAAGUGUCUGUAGCUAGGCAUUUCUGUCUGAUGCAAGGGAGCUGGCAGGGCAGAAACUGGAUGUGCCUUGGGUUUAUGAGAUAAUACCUGUGUGAAGGGGAUGUUUCUAUUCUUAGCAGUGAAAAAUGUGGGCAGCCAGAAUUUAAUGAGAUCUGGGCACAAGAAGGUACUAAGUUUUAGUCAUUUCUCGAGGAAAAUAUAGAAGAAACGUAAGCCUUUUAGUAUUUCACACACGAAGGGUGGGAGUUGGAUAAAAUUGUUUUCUAAUAGGAAGAUAGGGGGAAUUAAUCCUUUCUUUGACCCUCAUGGCCAUAGUCCAAGGCCAGUUUUCCUAAAUAUGAGUUUGUAGGUGUUUGUUGGAUCCCUUUGCAGGUGUGUGAUCUGCACAUAAGACCACGAAGACAGCGAAAAAAUGUUUGCUUAUGUAGAUAGAGCAUUUCUGAGAUUGGAGUUGAAGCUUGUAGUACUGCUCUGACCAAUGUAAUCAUAACAAGAGGCAAAAAAUGUUUGAGUUGAAAGUUACUUAGAGCAAACAACUUUUCUGGUUUGUUUGCACAUUAUCUACUCAGUAGCCAUGCUGCACUGAAAAUAGAUCCAGAAAAGGUGAGCUGAAGUCGUGAGUAGCAAAUUAGUAGCAUUUCUUCAUAGGAAAGUUAGCAAAGUAAAAGCCAAACAAGUCCUGCCCUUUCCUACAGACAUUUCCUGGCAGCACUGUCUGGCAAAUUUCUGGACUGGAUAGUUAUUUCUUCUCACCCAGAGUUUUAUGUCCUGCCUGCUUAUCAAGCACUUUGUGGCAUAUUCGAGGUCCCAAGUGUCCUUAGAAAACAUCUAGCCUUAUUUUUCCAGUGAGGAAACAGGCAUUAGGCAACUCAAGCCUCCAGUAUUUGAACAUUUCUGUACCAUUUUUUAUGGGAAGGACUCAUAUCUUCUCAUGUUGUCUUGUCAUCCCUGUCCAUUUAAAGGGUAGAGUCAAGACAGAACAGUCCUCUGUCCACAGACUGUCAAGUGGCGUGUUUAUAACCAAACAUGAGUGUUUGUGGGGUGUUUGGCACCCAUUGAUUUAGGACUGCACUCCUCCUCCUCAGGCCUGAGGACAGAAGGCACAUUUAGAGUAGUGUGGUCACUCUGUCCUUCUAAAAGGAGUUUUUCAGCACUGGACGAUGUAAUUAUUUUGCAUUGACAGGUCUUCUCAUAAAGUGAAGUGUAACUAUCUUCAAGCAUAUACCCUAAGUGCACACUGAAAGUUCAGUGCGGACCUUAGGAAGGAAAAAGUGGUAUCCUCAAAAUGUCAUUUCUUUAAAAAAAUUAAAAAAUUUCCCAGAUCUAUUAUGACAGACAACACUAUGUAAGUUUAGGGUGUCAGCAUAAUUAUUUGACUUACAUAUAUUGUGAAAUGAUUACCACUAUAAGUUUAGUUAACAUCCAUCAUCUCAUAUAG
rnacentral:lncRNA from 1 species